GCAUUGGUGGUUCAGUGGUAGAAUUCUCGCCUGCCACGUGAGAGGCCCUGUUUCGAUUCCCGGCCAAUGCA